rnacentral:rRNA from 1 species
UGUGAUGGGGAGCGAAAUUUAGUAGCGAAGUAGCUGAUUUCACACUGUCAAGAAAAGUCUCUAUCGAGGUUAAAGGUACCCGUACCGCAAACCGACACAGGUGGGUGAGGAGAGUAUCCGAAGGCCAGCGAGAGAACUGUUGUUAAGGAACUCGGCAAAAUGACCCCGUAACUUAGGGAUAAGGGGUGCCACCAUCAGGUGGCCGCAGAGAAUAGGCCCAAGCGACUGUUUACCAAAAACAUAGG